rnacentral:rRNA from 1 species
UGGGGAAUCUUGCGCAAUGGACGAAAGUCUGACGCAGCAACGCCGCGUGAGGGACGAAGGUUUUCUGAAUUGUAAACCUCUUUCGACAGGAACGAUUGUGACGGUACCUGUAGAAGAAGCACCGGCCAACUAUGUGCCAGCAGCCGCGGUGAUACAUAGGGUGCGAGCGUUAUUCGGAUUUAUUGGGCGUAAAGAGCUCGUAGGCGGUUCGACAAGUCGGGUGUUAAACCCCCAGGCUCAACCUGGGGCCGCCACCCGAAACUGUUGUGACUAGAGUUUGGUAGGGGAUCACGGAAUUCCUGGUGUAGCGGUGGAAUGCGCAGAUAUCAGGAGGAACACCAGUAGCGAAGGCGGUGAUCUGGGCCAAUACUGACGCUGAGGAGCGAAAGCGUGGGGAGCGAACA